rnacentral:misc_RNA from 1 species
CUGAGUAUUCGGCUCCCGUCAGGGACCGGUUACCCGACCUUUUGUCAUUUGCUCCGAACGUCGUUCGACGUCGGUACCCUUUACUUCGGCGGAAGUGGUAGGCGUCCUUCGGGGCGACCUGCCCGCCGCCGGCCGUAUUCCAAACUCUUGCGAAGAAAUUUGAAGUCUGAAAAACACUGCGAGAGCAGUAAAAACGAAAAGCA